GAUGAACGCUGGCGGCGUGCCUAAUACAUGCAAGUCGAGCGAACGGACGAGAAGCUUGCUUCUCUGAUGUUAGCGGCGGACGGGUGAGUAACACGUGGAUAACCUACCUAUAAGACUGGGAUAACUUCGGGACACCGGAGCUAAUACCGGAUAAUAUUUUGAACCGCAUGGUUCAACAGUGAAAGACGGUCUUGCUGUCACUUAUAGAUGGAUCCGCGCUGCAUUAGCUAGUUGGUAAGGUAACGGCUUACCAAGGCAACGAUGCAUAGCCGACCUGAGAGGGUGAUCGGCCACACUGGAACUGAGACACGGUCCAGACUCCUACGGGAGGCAGCAGUAGGGAAUCUUCCGCAAUGGGCGAAAGCCUGACGGAGCAACGCCGCGUGAGUGAUGAAGGUCUUCGGAUCGUAAAACUCUGUUAUUAGGGAAGAACAUAUGUGUAAGUAACUGUGCACAUCUUGACGGUACCUAAUCAGAAAGCCACGGCUAACUACGUG
rnacentral:rRNA from 1 species